AGCGGCACCUUUCUGUAAGGUAGACACUGACCCUAUCGCUGUUUCAAAGGUUAAGUCGGAUUGAAUUUCCUUUUACAGGAGACUGGGAAAGCACGUGACGACCAUCACUCCAGCAGCUGCAGCGAUCCCUGACUGAGACUGCAGAAAGUGACCCGCUAUCGAAACCCACAGCAGCCAGAGCCAGGUGUGUCUGGUCCACGGUUAUCCACUGGUUGCAUUUCCUUUGGUAUCUUGGACAAGCAGCUGAAAGUGUUUCUGGCAGCUUGAGGAAAUUGUGGAUUUCAGGCCGCACCCAGGACUCUGCCCUCCACGGGACAGACAGACGAGCUGUGGAGGGCUGUGCUUCCAUUUCCAUCUCAUACAACUCCAUCCCGAGCUGGAAAUGAGCGCUGCCUUUCACUGUAAAGCACCAAGAAUCCGGAGAAAAGCACUGCAA